GACGAACGCUGGCGGCGUGCUUAACACGUGCAAGUCGAACGGAAAGGCCCUGCUUUUGUGGGGUGCUCGAGUGGCGAACGGGUGAGUAACACGUGAGUAACCUGCCCUUGACUUUGGGAUAACUUCAGGAAACUGGGGCUAAUACCGGAUAGGAGCUCCUGCUGCAUGGUGGGGGUUGGAAAGUUUCGGCGGUUGGGGAUGGACUCGCGGCUUAUCAGCUUGCUGGUGGGGUAGUGGCUUACCAAGGCUUUGACGGGUAGCCGGCCUGAGAGGGUGACCGGCCACAUUGGGACUGAGAUACGGCCCAGACUCCUACGGGAGGCAGCAGUGGAGAAUAUUGCACAAUGGGCGGAAGCCUGAUGCAGCAACGCCGCGUGCGGGAUGACGGCCUUCGGGUUGUAAACCGCUUUCGCCUGUGACGAAGCGUGAGUGACGGUAAUGGGUAAAGAAGCACCGGCUAACUACGUGCCAGCAGCCGCGGUGAUACGUAGGGUGCGAGCGUUGUCCGGAUUUAUUGGGCGUAAAGGGCUCGUAGGUGGUUGAUCGCGUCGGAAGUGUAAUCUUGGGGCUUAACCCUGAGCGUGCUUUCGAUACGGGUUGACUUGAGGAAGGUAGGGGAGAAUGGAAUUCCUGGUGGAGCGGUGGAAUGCGCAGAUAUCAGGAGGAACACCAGUGGCGAAGGCGGUUCUCUGGGCCUUUCCUGACGCUGAGGAGCGAAAGCGUGGGGAGCGAACAGGCUUAGAUACCCUGGUAGUCCACGCUGUAAACGGUGGGUACUAGGUGUGGGGUCCAUUCCACGGGUUCCGUGCCGUAGCUAACGCUUUAAGUACCCCGCCUGGGGAGUACGGCCGCAAGGCUAAAACUCAAAGGAAUUGACGGGGCCCCGCACAAGCGGCGGAGCAUGCGGACUAAUUCGAUGCAACGCGUAGAACCUUACCUGGGUUUGACAUGGAUCGGGAGCGCUCAGAGAUGGGUGUGCCUCUUUUGGGGUCGGUUCACAGGUGGUGCAUGGCUGUCGUCAGCUCGUGUCGUGAGAUGUUGGGUUAAGUCCCGCAACGAGCGCAACCCUUGUUCACUGUUGCCAGCACGUUAUGGUGGGGACUCAGUGGAGACCGCCGGGGUCAACUCGGAGGAAGGUGGGGAUGACGUCAAGUCAUCAUGCCCCUUAUGUCCAGGGCUUCACGCAUGCUACAAUGGCUGGUACAGAGAGUGGCGAGCCUGUGAGGGUGAGCGAAUCUCGGAAAGCCGGUCUCAGUUCGGAUUGGGGUCUGCAACUCGACCUCAUGAAGUCGGAGUCGCUAGUAAUCGCAGAUCAGCAACGCUGCGGUGAAUACGUUCCCGGGGCU
rnacentral:rRNA from 1 species